rnacentral:lncRNA from 1 species
ACUUCAUCACCAUGCUUUUCCAUGAUUCUCUAAAUCGCUGAACAUCGAAACCAAAAUGAAAACCCUCAUGCCAGAAUAUCACCGCUGCAUCUCGAAGCAAAUCCUUUUAAUCGCCAUUGUCGUUUCACUGAAAUACAAUAUCGAUACUAAAAUCUUAACAGAGAUUCAACAUCGCUGCAUGAAAGGCAAACUUCUUCCUUUGAGUUCGUCAACUACCGGUAUAAGGUACCGCGAAAAAAUCUAAC